GACUCAACGAUCUGCAAGGUGUUGGGA
rnacentral:sRNA from 1 species